UAGAUUAUAACUUACUUUGGGAAGAUCUUUUACUUGGUUCAACUGUACUGGCAUACGUAUGAAUCCAUCGGCAUCUUUCAAUCCAACACAAAUAUCUGAACUGUUUGACAGAUACAAUUGAAGCCACCAGAGCAAGCUUUUUGGAUGUUUCCAAAUAUUUAUUAAUCCAGAAUUCCAAAGUAGUUUUGUAUUGAUGAACUUCAAGUUGUUAAUGUUUUCCAUAUCUUCACUGUAAAAUAUUUAAAUACAUAUACUAUAUUCCCAAAUGUGUAACAAAUAAUUACGAAUAAUCAACUUACAAGACGUCGAUCACAUGAUUUGAAACUAUUCCCGCAAUUUCUGCAGAGUAAAGUAGAUCAAAUUCUUUGAUUGUGGAACGAAAAAUACCACUGAUAAAGUCAUUAACAUUUACAGGUACAUUGGUAUUAGGGUCCAGGUCAGGAUCAUCUAGAAAUAUUUAUAUUGAUUUUGAAUUGAACAAAAAUGUAUUAUAAACUGCUUAAUUAUGGUUGAUGUCCCUAGCUAACAUUAGCCUAAUUAGACCAUUCGAUUGUUUGCUAUUUGAAACACUUUGUGCCAAUUACCUAAUUUCAGUAAUCACUACUUAUGUAAAUUCGAAGCGUUGAUUCGUACGUUAGUAGUCACUAUAAAGGCAUUGAUCUUUUACGGCGAAAUGUUGAAAAGAGAAAUAAUUACUAGCAAGGGGGUUUCCCCCGGUCUCAUACACACAAUUAUGUAGAUAAUACUCGAUCACUUAUCAAAAGAAACAAAUUUUAUUACUGAGUUUGUCAACAGAUUUUACUUACCAGAAAAGCAAGUUUGCACAAAUUUAUAAUGAUAUGUGUCGUUUUUUGAAGUUCCAUAAUUCGAUUUGCCGUCAGAGAUGUAAAGAAUACCACCACACCGUGUAGCAAAAAAUUUACUGUUAUUAUAUUUCGAUGCUUUCAAACGAUAUGGGAUGAUCAUGAUUUUGCAUAAACACCCACGAUUGCUCAGAACUAAUUUACGUUUUGAUUUUUGCUGUGGCUGGGAUCGAUUUGAUCCAUCCGCUCGUUUUGCGUUUUCUGUGUCGUGCGAUUGUAGAACAUUUUCUUUUGAUUCCAGUAUAAAUUUUUGGAGAUCCUCCUGCAUCUCCGAAUGCUUUCCUUCUCUUCUGAAUAUAUAUUGCUCAAAUCCCUUAUUCAAAUCUAUUGGAUAGGAGCAUGGUUUCGGCAAUUUGAAAUAUGGAAAACGUACAUCACUGAAAUUUCCAUCAUGAAAACCGUAACAUUUUUGUAAUUUCGGCUUACUGAAAUAAAACGGUGGCGGAGUAUGCUCAUUGAAUCCGCGAACUCACUGCAGCAACUGAAAUGAACAAGGCGAAUUUCCAAAUUAAUACAUAUUUGCCAUGGAUGUACAUAUCAUAUUGAUUCCAAGAAGAGUAAAAAUAACGGAUUCUUCAUUCAAAGCCUUGGUAAGUGGUCGACGUGUGAGGAAGUGAGAACGAAAGUAAAGCGAACCAAUAAGAACUUCGUUCACUUUUAUAAACAUAAUUCAUACAGUUAUAAAUUCGAUGAGUUUUAUUAAAAAAUGUAUAUGCCUGUACAUUUUUAACACGUACUCCUUGUCUUGUAUGGAAUAAUUAAUUAACCCUCUCAUGCCCGAAUUGAAAUGGGCGGAGCUAAAAUUUUUUUUCGGACAGUUAUAUAUUAGUCUCAACUCAAAUAUGAAGUGAUUACUUGAAGAAGACGUAAAAUCCCCUGAAUAGUACAUAUCUUUCUCUAUACUAUCCACAUCGUUCGAGGACACCAUGGGAUCUUCGAUCAUCUCGGCUAUUGUUUUCUAGUCUGCACACAUCACGGAAUCCUUAAUAAUGUCGUGGACUGUCGAUUUACUUAUUUUGUUGUAAUCAGCGAUUUUUCGGACAUCCCCUUCAACGCGACUUUCACGUCUCCUGUACUCCUUCUCAAAGCUUGUCCGAAGUUUGAAAUUCCUUUGCUCACGGGAGAUUGUUUUGUGAGAUUAUUUUGUAAAGGUCAUAAAUAAUUCUUAUUUUUUUUUUCCACAAAACGGUAUCUUCCCGUCACCAUUUUAUUCAAAUUUGUUAUAAUAUUACCUAUUAAAUACAGUUUCCAACCAACCAACUAUAAGUGCGGCAUGUCCAAUGCAUUUGUGGCGAAAGUUAACAAAACAAACUAAAAACAUCUGGGAGGAAGUGAUAACGGUCAUUUGGUGAAAGUGGUGUAUUGAUCUACUAUGCAAAUAUCGCUCUCUUAAGAUUAACAGUAAUAUUUCUAAUUCUGAAGGCAAGUGCGUUAAAUCCUUGUCCAUAACAGUAUAUACAUUCAUGUGAAAUAAUAUUAUUUAUUGUUAUUAUUAAAACUUAUAUAGUACAAAUAUAAAACAGAUAUUCUUGUUUACUUCUGGUAAAUAUUUGAUUUCACUUUGGCACCCUUUAAGUAAUAAUAAAAUGAGUACUUUUGUGCAAAUUGACAUCACAUUGAUGUUUGUUUUCUGCAAUGUUCUAUGUAUUCUUCACUUAAGAAGGAGUACUCCGUUUUACCAAUGUGUUUUUUUAAUUUAAUACACGUUGUGAAUGAGUCGUAUGCAAAUUCAUAAACAGUAUAUGGACAGUUAACUGAAGACAUUGUCGUUUCAAUCAAUUUUAGCAUGGUGAGCAAGAAUCGGAUGCAAAUAUGUGGUUUCCACGUUUGAUUCUAAAAAUAUAAAAUUAAACUUGUAAUUUAAAUAUAUUAAAAUUAGAGAUUACAACUUACUCUGGGAAGAUCUUUUACUUGGUUCAACUGUACUGGCAUACGUAUGAAUCCAUCGGCAUCUUUCAAUCCAACACAAAUAUCUGAACUGUUUGACAGAUAUGAUUGAAGCCACCAGAGCAAGCUUUUUGGAUGUUUCCAAAUAUUUAUAAAUCCAGAAUUCCAAAGUAGUUUUGUAUUGAUGAACUUCAAGUUGUUAAUGUUUCCCAUAUCUUCACUGUAAAACAAUCAAAUACGCAGUCAGCGUCAAAAGAAAGUGUAUACAACUUUUUUCCUAUAUUUCUUGUGUUUUUAUGUUUUUGUUAAGUGAUACAAUGUAAGAAUUAAUGUCUUUUAAAAGGAUAUUUAAUAAUGAUCAAGUUUAUAAAAAACAAAAAUAAAAUUAUUACAACAACAAAUGUUAUGAACAUAAAACUGAAAACACAUAAAAUUUCUGUCGUCAAAAGAAAGUGUACAAAUGAUCAGGGAGCGAUGGAAAUAAAAGUUAAUACUUUCCAUUCGCUUUAAUUAUGGAUGAUAAACGUCGAGGCAUGGAAUUGACAAGUUUUCCUGUUACUUCCGGUACAAUUUUUUGUCAUUCUGCCACAAUAACAUCCUGGUGCAUGCCCUGCAGCGCCACAUCAUCACUGAGGUGCCACCAUGAUUCACUGUUGAUAUUACUUUCUGUUCAGCAAAUGUUUGAUUUCUAGUCUUUCAAAUUUUCGCUGAUUUUUGUCCCCCAAAUACUUCCAAAUUGCUUUCGUCAAUAAAAAUAAUUUCUUCCAAAAGGAAAUAUCUUAGUACUGAUGCUUUUUACCAAAAUUUAAACGCUUCAAUUGGUUGGUUUUGAAUAUCAAUGGCUUUUUCCGCGGAACUCGACCAUGUAGGCCACUCGAAUGUAGUGCCCGAUGAAUUGUGCUAGCAUUAACUGUCACAUCUGAAGUUCCCGAGGACGAUUUGCAGUAAGGACAUGCACCAGGAUGUUAUUGUGAAAUAAUGACAAAAUACUGUAUCGGAAGAAACAGGAAAACUUGUCAAUUCCAUCAAUCGACGAUUACCAUCCAUAACUAAAGCCAAUGGAAAGUAUUUAACUUUAAUUUCCAUCACUCCCUGAUCAUUUGUACACUUUCUUUUGACGCUGACUGUAUAUUUAUACUAUAUGCCCAAAUGUAUAAGAAAUAAUUAUGAAUAAUGAGCUUACAUAUCGUCGAUCACAUGAUUUGAAACUAUUCCCGCAAUUUCUGCAGAGUAAAGUAGAUCAAAUUCUUUGAUUGUGGAACGAAAAAUGCCAUGAAUAAAUUUAUUCUCAUUUACAGGUACAUUGGUAUUAGGGUCCAGGUCAGGAUCAUCUAGAAAUAAAUAUAUUGAUUUUGAAUUGAACAAAAAUUUAUUAUAAACUGCUCAAUUAUUGUUCAUGUCCCUAGCUAUCAUUAGCCUAAUUAGACCAUUCGAUUGUUUGCUAUUUUAAACACUUUGUGCCAAUUACCAAUUAAUUUCAGUAAUCACUACUUAUGUAAAUUCGAAGCGUCGAUUCGUACGUUAGUAGUCACUAUAAAGGCAUUGAUCUUUUACGGCGAAAUGUUGAAAAGAGAAAUAAUUACUAGCAAGGGGGUUUCCCCCGGUCUCAUACACACAAUUAUGUAGAUAAUACUCGAUCACUUAUCAAAAGAAACAAAUUUUAUUACUGAGUUUGUCAACAGAUUUUACUUACCAGAAAAGCAAGUUUGCAUAAAUUUAUUAUGAUAUGUGUCGUUUUUUGAAGUUCUAAAACUCAAUUUGCAGUCAGAGAUGUAAAGAGCACCACCAUACCGUGUAGCAAAAAAUUUACUGUUGUUAUAUUCCGAUGCCUUCAUACGAUAUGGGAUGAUCAUGAUGUUGCAUAAACAACCACGAUUGCUCAGAACUAAUUUACGUGUUGAUUUCUGCUGUGGCUGUGAUCGAUUUGAUCCAUCCGCUCGGCUAGUAUUUUCUGUGUCGUGCGAUUGUAGUACAUUUUUUUUUGAUUCCAGUAUAAAAUUUUGGAGAUCAUUAAGCAUCUCCGAAUGCUUUCCUUCUCUUCUGAAUAUAUAUUGCUCAAAUCCCUUAUUCAAAUCUAUUGGAUAGGAGCGUGCUUGAGGGCAUUUGAAAUAUGGAAAACGUACAUCACUGGAAAUAUCCUCAACAUCUUGAUGAGCGUAGCAUUUUUGUAUUAUCGGCUUACUCAAAUAAAAUGGUGGUGGAGUAUGCUCAUUGGUGAGUUCGCUUCCUUGUAAUUUAUAAAUAACUUCAUAAUCAUUGAUAUCUGCUGCAGUAGCCAUUUUAUAUAGAAAUAAUCAAUGGAUAAUAUAAACAAUAAUCUUUACAAAUUUGUUUUUGCUUUAUUCCGAAUAUUUGCACAGUACUAAACAUCCGCGAACUCGCUGCAACAACUGAAAUGUACAAGGCGAAUGUUGAUUCACACAGAGGCUGAGAAUGACUCAUUAAUUGUUGAUAAUGAUUCAAAGCGUCGGUCACUUGCCGAGAGUGAGAGGAAGUGUGACUGCGUAAGUGAGCACGAAAGUAAAGCAACACAAGUACGAGCGAAGGCGACUUUUUUAUAUAUUAAAAAAAUAUGAAAUUUUUCUGUUACGGUAUAAUCAAUUAUUUUAGGUACAUAUUCACAUGUUAUUUAUUUUAAUUCAAUAUGUUUUAAUUUUACAAUUCAUUUGUCAU